CGGGUUGCUGCAGCAGUGGGGAAUAUUGCACAAUGGAGGAAACUCUGAUGCAGCAACGCCGCGUGGAGGAUGACGCAUUUCGGUGUGUAAACUCCUUUUAUAUGUCAAGAAAAUGACGGUAGCAUAUGAAUAAGCACCGGCUAACUCCGUGCCAGCAGCCGCGCUAAUACGGAGGGUGCAAGCGUUACUCGGAAGCACUGGGCGUAAAGGACGCGUAGGCGGGAUAUCAAGUCAGGUGUGAAAUCCUACAGCUUAACUGUAGAACUGCACUUGAAACUGGUAACCUAGAGUAUGGGAGGGGGAGAUGGAAUUAGUGGUGUAGGGGUAAAAUCCGUAGAUAUCACUAGGAAUACCUAAAGCGAAGGCGAUCUCCUGGAACAUAACUGACGCUAAGGCGUGAAAGCGUGGGGAGCAAACAGGAUUAGAUACCCUGGUAGUC
rnacentral:rRNA from 1 species